rnacentral:rRNA from 1 species
CAUGCAAGUCGAACGAGACCUUCGGGUCUAGUGGCGCACGGGUGCGUAACGCGUGGGAAUCUGCCCUCUGGUACGGAAUAACUCAGGGAAACUUGAGCUAAUACCGUAUAAUGACUUCGGUCCAAAGAUUUAUCGCCUGAGGAUGAGCCCGCGUCGGAUUAGCUAGUUGGUGAGGUAAAAGCUCACCAAGGCGACGAUCCGUAGCUGGUCUGAGAGGAUGAUCAGCCACACUGGGACUGAGACACGGCCCAGACUCCUACGGGAGGCAGCAGUGGGGAAUAUUGGACAAUGGGCGCAAGCCUGAUCCAGCCAUGCCGCGUGAGUGAUGAAGGCCCUAGGGUUGUAAAGCUCUUUCAACGGUGAAGAUAAUGACGGUAACCGUAGAAGAAGCCCCGGCUAACUUCGUGCCAGCAGCCGCGGUAAUACGAAGGGGGCUAGCGUUGUUCGGAAUUACUGGGCGUAAAGCGCACGUAGGCGGAUUGUUUAGUUAGGGGUGAAAUCCCAGGGCUCAACCCUGGAACUGCCUCUAAUACUGGCAAUCUAGAGUCCGAGAGAGGUGAGUGGAAUUCCGAGUGUAGAGGUGAAAUUCGUAGAUAUUCGGAGGAACACCAGUGGCGAAGCGGCUCACUGGCUCGGUACUGACGCUGA